rnacentral:rRNA from 1 species
AUUGAACGCUGGCGGCAUGCCUUACACAUGCAAGUCGAACGGCAGCACGGGAGCAAUCCUGGUGGCGAGUGGCGAACGGGUGAGUAAUAUAUCGGAACGUGCCCAGUGAUGGGGGAUAGCCCGGCGAAAGCCGGAUUAAUACCGCAUACGACCUACGGGUGAAAGCAGGGGAUCGCAAGACCUUGCGUCAUUGGAGCGGCCGAUAUCAGAUUAGCUUGUUGGUGGGGUAAAAGCCUACCAAGGCGACGAUCUGUAGCUGGUCUGAGAGGACGACCAGCCACACUGGGACUGAGACACGGCCCAGACUCCUACGGGAGGCAGCAGUGGGGAAUUUUGGACAAUGGGCGCAAGCCUGAUCCAGCCAUGCCGCGUGCGGGAAGAAGGCCUC